rnacentral:rRNA from 1 species
UUUACCGGAGUACUAUGAAUAUUUAAACAUUUAAAACUUAAAGAACUUGGCGGUGUUUUAGACCACUUAGGGGAACCUGUCUCGUAAUCGACAAUCCGCGUUAAACCUGACCUUUUCUUGUUAUCAGUUUGUAUACCGUUGUCGUCAGGUAACUUUUUAGAAAUUAGAAGUUAGCGAUAAAAGCAAUUUAAUGACUUAGGACGUCAAAUCAAGGUGCAGCUAACGAAAAGGGGAGGAUGGGUUACAAUUAUUUGAUUUAUAAUAACGGACGAACAACAUGAAUAUGUUUCAAAUUAUAAGGUGGACUUGAAAGUAAAUUAGAUUAUAUAGAUAGUUUGAAUAAGGCUCUGAAACGUGU